UCUUCUUGGUUAGGGGUGGGGCUUUGCCACUUCCUCUUCUCUUUGCUACAGUUUUGUCUGGGUCCAACCUUUUGAGAGCAUUGUGCAUGCUGUUAAGUCUUUGAACUCAUAUAUGUAUUGGCCUUGUUGUUUUGACAGAUGCUGUUUCCUCGGAGUCACCCACUGCCUCUGGCUCUUUCCACCUUCUCUUACACAUUGGUCCUGAAGCCUGAUUUCCAAUCCAUCUGUGUUGACUGUGGAUUCCUUAGAGAGCUGUUUUGGGGAUCAGCUAGGAAACUGGUCUCUAAAAGGGGUGACUGAAUGGGGUAGCAGAGAAGAAGUAGGAUUUUAAACAGUUUUAACGUAUGUAGUCCAGUGGCAGUUAUAUUUUGCAAUAAUCACUUUUAUAUAGUUAUUUUUAUAAUCAUUCUUCCCAGUAGAAUGCUUUGCCAUAAGAAUAACUCUGUACACCUUCCUCAUAGCCAUUUGUGACCUCUAUCAUGCAGUCUCUGUGAACUUGAGGAUUCUAGGAAGCACAUGUAAAUGCCUUUAUACCGUGGUUGUUUCUGUAAGAAUGGCUUAUUGCCGUGUGGCAUGUUUUCAAGGUUAAUCCAUGUGAUAGCAUGUUGUCACUCUGAUUUACAACCUCACUCCUUGUGUUGGAGAAGACACCUUCCCAGUGGAUGUGAAAAUGUGUCCAUAGAGUUUUCCCAAGAAAGAUGAUAGUAAAUUUAUUAAAAAUAGCUAACAUCUAGAGACUGGUAUGGCUAGGUUAGUUGGACAGAUUGACUGUAGCUGGUUUGUGUAAGAAUAUUGAUGAGGUAGUUGUGUGUGGCAGAUGGAAUUCCUGAGGAAAUAAUAGAGUAGGAGAGAGCCUUUGGAAAAAUAGGAGCACCAACCAAGCCAGUACCAUGGACAUUCAUAGUAAGAUUAUAGGAAGAUAACCAUGAUCAGAUUUAUAUAUUCUGAAUGCUGGGCUGGCAAGAUGGUUCAACAGGGGAAGAUACCUGCUGGCAAGCCUGGUGACCUUUGACCUCUGCAACCCAUUGUGUUAGAACAGAACCAGCUUCUGAGAGUUGUUCUCUGACCUGUACAUGCUUGCCAUUGUGUGCCUCUAACAAUAUAAUAAAGUAAAAUACCCAUUUUUUUUAUUGAAUCUAAAAGUAGCAUUGUCUUAAAUCCUUGAAGAAUUGAAGUUACCUGAUAGUGUAAUCAUUUCAUGUUUUAAUUGAUUCUUAUCUUGUAGUAGCAAGCAUUUUAGAAAAUGCUAAGUUUAAAUAAGUAGUCUAUACUAUCUAUAUAUAGUCAUAUUGGUCAUGAAUUGCAUUUAAAAAUCCAGUCUUCGUGUUCUUCAUGUACCAGUGGUGCCUCAGUUCCCAGGUCUUUCUGCAUUCUGAAGGUAUUGGAAGUGGAGCCUUUCGGGCUGGAGAGAUAGAUGGCCCGGUACUUACAGAGUAGCACGUUUGCUCUUGCAGAGGGUCAGAGGUCUAUUGUAGCACCCACACUGAGGGGCUCACAGCUUCUUGUAAUUCCAGCUCCAGGUGCAUUCCAUAACGUAACUCUGGCCUCUCAGGGUACCUGCACUUGUGUAUGAGUGCAUAUGUGUAUGUUGCAUGUGUGCACACACACACACAUACAUAAAUAAACACACAACAAUUUUUUAAAAUCUUAAAAGAAAAGGAGGCUUUAGUCCUAUGGGCUGCCACAACACGGAACAUGGGGGUCUUUCCGGAUCUUCGCACGCCUCUGGGAACUCCAGCCCAGAAGUGUUGUAGCUGAGAGCAGCGUCUGUCUGCGCAGGGACGGAAAUGGAUAGGAACAUCUGGAAGAGUAGGAGAAGACGUGGGCGAAGCCACCAUCAGGGCCCUGCCCUUGGGCAGUGUGAUUCCAGUGAGAGGUACACCACAGGGUCAUCUCAGAGCUCACAAGAUUCUGGCCACCAUGAUGUUGAGUCCCCUUCAACCUCGUCCAGCAGAACUGGAGAGUCUUCAGUGCCAGAUCUUCCAGGUUUUUACUUUGACCCUGAAAAGAACCGAUACUUCCGUUUGCUCCCGGGUCACAACAACUGCAACCCCCUCACAAAGGAGGGCAUCCAGCACAAGGAGAUGGAGAGCAGGAGGCUGCAGCUGCUGCAGCAAGAGGACACACAGAAAAAGAAAAUUACCAGAGUGGGAUUUAAUGCAUCUUCCAUCCUACGAAAAAACCAGCUGUGUUUCCUCAACUUCUCCAGUUAUUGCCGUUUAUCCCAUGAGCUGCGUGUGAGCUGCAUGGAGAGGAAAAAGGUAGAGAUUCAGAGCUCAGACCCUUCUGCUCUGGCGAGUGACCGGUUUAACUUCAUCCUGGCAGAUACUACCAGUGACCGCCUCUUCACUGUGAAUGAUGUCAAAAUCGGCGGCUCCAAGUACGGCAUCAUCAACCUGCAGGGUCUGAAGGCCCCCACGUUUGAGGUGCACAUGCACGAAAACCUGUACUUUACCAACAGGAAGGUGAACUCUGUGUGCUGGGCCUCACUUAAUCACUUGGACUCCCACAUACUGCUGUGCCUCAUGGGCCUUGCAGAGACGCCAGGUUGUGCCACCUUGCUCCCUGCAUCACUGUUUGUCAGCAGUCACCAAGGUACAGACCAGCCUGGCAUGCUCUGCAGUUUCCGGAUCCCCGGGGCCUGGUCCUGUGCCUGGUCCUUGAACGUCCAGGCAAAUAACUGCUUCAGUACAGGUUUGUCUCGGAGGGUCCUGUUGACCAAUGUGGUGACAGGACACCGGCAGUCAUACGGGACCAACAGUGAUGUCUUGGCCCAGCAGUUUGCAGUCAAGACUCCUUUGCUGUUUAUUGGCUGUCAUUCUGGGGAGAUCUUUGCCUUUGACCUGCGUUCUCCAAGUCAAGCCAAGGGCUGGAAGGCUACCCAGAUUUUCCAUGACUCAGCAGUGACCUCUGUGCAGGUCUUCAAGGAG